rnacentral:rRNA from 1 species
AUAAAUCAAGGAUGACGGGCCGCCAGCGUGAGCAGUGUUAAUUGAGCACGCGCAGACCUUACAUCUUUGACAUGCAGCUAACCAGAGAGAUUUGUGUCCUUCGGGACCUGCACACAGUGUGCAUGCUGUCGUCAGCUCGUGUCGUGAGAUGUUGGGUUAGUCCCGCAACGAGCGCAACCCACGUCCUCAGUGCCAUCAUCAUUAGGCACUCUGGGAGACUGCCGGUGAUAAGCCGGAGGAAGGUGUGGAUGACGUCAAGUCCUCAUGGCCCUUACGGGAUGGGCUACACACGUGCUACAAUGGCGGUGACAGUGGGACGCAAGCCCGCGAGGGUAAGCAAAUCUCCAAAAGCCGUCUCAGUUCGGAUUGCACUCUGCAACUCGAGUGCAUGAAGGCGGAAUCGUUAGUAAUCGUGGAUCAGAUGCCACGGUGAAUACGUUCCCGGGCCUUGAACACACCGCCCGUC